GGAAGAGCAGUGGGGUGGGCGAGGGAUGGAGGAAGAAGGAAGAAGAGAGGAAGGGAAGGGAGGGAGGGAGGGAGGGAGAGGAGAAACGUGUAAUCACCCAAACAACCAUUUUUACCCAUUUUACCCCCUCUGGAUCUGUGUCGCAAGUCUGCCGGGAGCUUAUCUGUCUUUCACUGCGGAUACCGUGAAGGGAGGCCGGGCCGAGAGGAAGACACCAAGAGGAGGAAGAGGAUAAUCAGAUGCCCGGGAGGACGGGAAAUCGCGUGCCAAAAAAACACAUUACUCCUGAAUUCCAAUUUGCACAGAGAUGAAAAAUGGCAUGCAGCUGGCCGAGUACUUCCUUCCCCUUGUCGGGGUCAGCAGUUCACUAUGCUGAUGGAGACCCUCACACCUUCAUUAAUAAGAGUCCCCCUGCACUCACACAGGUCGCUUUGCUGCAUCGCUGGACGCCCAUCACUCCUACCUUUGUCUGGAUUUCCUAUCAUUACAUUCCUCCGUCGCUGCAUGAGCCAGUGAUUAUUUUGUUGAUGACUGACAACUGCUGUUUUUCUUUUUUGGUAUUUUAGCCAGCCGGCUGACGUUGGACACUGAAUCCCUGACCUUUGUCUAUAUGGUUACC